UACGAAGGGGGCUAGCGUUGCUCGGAAUCACUGGGCGUAAAGCGCACGUAGGCGGCUUCUUAAGUCAGGGGUGAAAUCCUGGAGCUCAACUCCAGAACUGCCUUUGAUACUGGGAGUCUUGAGUUCGGGAGAGGUGAGUGGAACUGCGAGUGUAGAGGUGAAAUUCGUAGAUAUUCGCAAGAACACCAGUGGCGAAGGCGGCUCACUGGCCCGAUACUGACGCUGAGGUGCGAAAGCGUGGGGAGCAAACAGG
rnacentral:rRNA from 1 species